CUUACCGAGCCUCUCCCCGAUUCUCUCUUCCUCUCCGACCUCUUCACCUUCUUCCGGCCAUAACUCCUCCAUCCGGCGACGGAUUUUGAAGUCAACGAGAAGAAGAGGACGGUCACUGUAGCAGUUUUGAGUCAACGCCGAUAUUUUCCGAUUCCGGCAGUCUCCGGCCACCAAAUUGGCGUCGAAGGGUUCUUGGAAUUUCUGGAAAAUUUUCACCGGCCAAAUUGGAGCUCUUCCAGGGCAAUGCCGCGAGCUACGGUUAAAUGAAGGAACUCGUUUGCGUGGUCGCCCAAUAGUACUUUUGCAGGCGAAAUUAGUUGAGGUCGGGCGUACAUGGAGUCGAGGCAUAGCCAACAGCAUUGCUUCCGCGUACUCAUUCUAUUUCUGUUUUCUUUGUUACCUAGUGGAUUAGUAUUGCUCUGAUAACCUAUGGGAUUAAUAUUGUUUUUGGGUUGAGACUGAUA